UACCAACCAGACUGUAGGACACAGAAUUCAGCGUGAUGAGGGUAGCUGUGGGCCGCACCACUCUGCAAGUCUUCAGAGUAUGAGAGUCCAAGACCUACAUGGCGAGGGCAAGCACAUGCAUUAGAACCUAGAAGUAUUUUGUGGAAAUGGCAUAAGCAAAGCAUCUAAGACAUUUAUCAAGAAUAUCUGAAUAUCAACCAUCAAGCCCCAGGCCGAGGGGAGCUGGGAAUAUUUCAGGGCACAUUAACCACUGUUGUGAAGCCUGACCGCUGUUACCUUGAUAAAUGCUGAGCAGAUGGAAAAGGAGAAUUUGGCAAUCACAGAAGCAUCACGUCCCUUGACUCUGGCCCCUCUUCAGGAGGAGAGAACAGAUCAUGGAGACCAGGAAUACUUUGGUCUCACGGAACAAACCUUCAUUCAAAGAAACUCAAGGGAGAAGUUUUAUUACAAGAGGAGCUCAGAGGACCCAAAAGGGAGAAGUAUAUUUGGUCCUCAGGAGAUAACAGAACCGCGGCCUGGAGAGGCAUCCAACUCCAUAUUUAUAUCUUUUUGUCUCCAUAUUUAUAUCUCUGUCUUACCUUCAGGCAGCACAUGAGAUUUUAACCACGUUUCUCUCUUUAGGUGUUCCUCCUCUCUCUCAGCAACCCCACUUCCUUUGCUGGCUUUCCUCACGGACUAUGUUGAAGGCACCAUAAGGAUGGUAGUACCAGUGCUGUUACUAUUACUACUACUAAUAAUAGCAAGCAAUUGAAUAACGGCCAGAACUGUUCUGAG